rnacentral:ncRNA from 2 species
GUUAAUAUAGAGAUUUAUGGUGAAUUAACUAAUUAGUUAAUUCUUGAAAGGGAAAGAGGUGGAAAUCCUCUACAGCCCCCGCUACUGUAAGUAGAUAUGAAAUCUUCAAUAUACCACUGGAGAAUACUGGGAAGGUGAAGAGAGUAAGAUGAAGCUACGAGUCAGGAGACCUGCCAUAGAUUUUAGUAACUA